CACCUCACUUGAGCCUGACAUAUAAAUCUAGAGUUUUUGUGUUUUAAUUUUGGAGUCUGAAAACAGCAUUUCUUCACAGCUCUGCUACUGCCAAGCUGACUUCCAUCCAAAGCACCAAGCGCCAGCAAGCAGCCCUGCAACUCAGUGAUGCAGCAAGCAUCUCUGAAUCUAAUUACACAUGAUCAAAGAUGAAUUUUUUAACAAUUUGAUUAUGCUUUAGAGCUUGAAUGAGAUCAACAUGCUCGCUGCUGCAGUGUUCCUCUGAAAUACCUAAUUGAAGACUUUUUUUUUUUUUUUUGAGCGUUUGGUUUAUUGCAGCAAUUGCCGUUUUCCUCGGGUUGACCUCAAUCACUGGAGCAGGACUACAGUGCAUGCUGCAUUUAAUUACCUCCAGUGAAUUUGAUUAUCGGGAAAUAUGGAGCAUAUCAAGUGAAUCCCUGCCCUCGAGAAAUAUUUUUUCUGUAUAGUUAAAGUUGGAAAAGGAUGACAUGGGAACUUCAGUCGAGACAAAAGGCGCCAGCUAAUGAGACUGGUUAGUGAUUCAAAUUUAUGGAAAUUUUAUUAAUUACAGAAACCUAUCUUUCAUCCGUACCAUUUGGCUUGUGAAGUAAUUAAAGCCAACAAUGGCUGUCGCCGCAGUCGAGGAACCAAACAAGAUCAAAAAAGACGGAGCAUUGAGGAGAAAGUCCUGCGUAUCCUGAUCCAGGCCUGGCCAUGGGUAUUGUGGCCUCAUUAAAACCCAAUCGUGCUGAUCAUCAAUUAACCUGCUUUGUUUUGCUUCUGAUUUGUAACUUGCACAACAACAGUUCCCCCGUGUUAAAAGUUUGUGCCAGAGGGGAAUGAGGCUUAUCAUAAGUGCUGCCUUUGUGGCAUCAAGGGACAACUUUUGAUUGAUUGACUGGAAAGAAAGCUUGACCCAUUCCUCUCUUUGGUCCAAGGAAAUCCUAAACAUUCAGAAGAAUCCUGCAUCAUAACUAGAUGAUGACAGUUGUUUUUCAUGCAAAAAGUGAAAUUUGGAACAGAAAUAUAGAAAUCUUCCAUUUUUGUUGUUUUUAGUUUUAGCCACAGCAAGAAAUUGAUGUUUGUGAAACAAUAUGUUAUAAUUUCCAUUACUUUUAUAAAAUGCUGGAAAAGAACGUAAACAUCAAAUUUGUAAUUGUUGAUAAAAUUUGGCUGCUUUAAUCUUCAUGUUCAGACAAAGAAGUCUGUGAUUUGAUGGAAAAUUUUUAAUGCAUUCAGCCAUCUUUUGAUUUGUUUGGUGCUUAUUAUGACAACAAAUUGGUUUGAAGUAGUACAUAAAUAUAUUCACUCGCUAGGUGGUGUCUGAAGGCAGGUGAUUGAUCUGGAUUUUACUUAAGGGCAUCAGAGUAAUGUGGACUCGGUACAAAUGCAUGCCACACUACUUAGAUUAUGAUUAUUUUGUGUUGAAUUUAUAAAACCAUGUAUCCCUUUCUUUCAGGUUCACAACCAUGCACUGCUUUGCGUUGAUCAAUCGGGUAUUUAGAAGUUAUGGAUUGCAUUAUUUUUAUGAAAUGCUUGAAAAGAAUGUAAUCAUCAAAUUUAGAGGACACUGAUUAAAUAUGGUUGACUUGA